CAAAUGGAAAUCAUGAAGUUAUAGUUCAGCACCUUAUAAAUUUUCAUUUCGACUCAGUUAUAUACUGCGGCAGUACAAGUUACACUGAUUCUUUCCGCUUAGACCAGAACAACUGCUACAAUAAAAUAUUUGAUAGAAAGUGUAUUAUAACGUAUAAUCACAUAUUUAGAAUUACUUGUCGAAGAGUGGCUGAACAUUGUCUGAUGGCUGCUGAAAUUGUGGGGAGCAAAAACGAUUUAAAAACGUUUAUCUACGAGGUAUCAAUAAUAGACAUGAGAAGACCAGAGAAGAAAUUGAUCAGAACAGACUAUUGUUUAAACGAAAUGCCUGAAGAUGAGCUGUUCAAAAAAUGCAUUAUGUUUCCCAAUAGUGUUCUGUCUUCGUAUUCUAAUCACGGAAUGGUUACUUUCAAUGUAGCUAUCAAAGAAAAAUAGGAAAAUAAUUGGAAAUGUGUGUUCCUUAAACUGUUAUGAAGAUCAGUUUAAGUGGAAGUGAGGAUAAAAAUAACAUAUUUUAUUAGGAUUCUUAGGAGAGUUUACUGAAUGCAAAUAUAUUAUAUGUGUUACUAUGACUGUUUUAGUGCCAAAGGGACUUUUUCAAAUAAUGUAUAUUUUAAUUAUUGUUUAACUUUGGUGAAUUUAAGCU
rnacentral:lncRNA from 1 species